UCUCACUAUUACGUGAAGUUUCAUCAAGGUUGGCGUGCAAGUGAAAUGUCAUACUCUGAUUGUAGCUACAGGAGCUACUGCUAAAAGGGUUAGAUUACCACGUGAAGAUGAAUUUUGGAGUAGGGGAAUAAGUGCUUGUGCAAUAUGUGAUGGUUCUAUAAUGUUUCUGCUAUCAUCAACUUGGUGUAAUGUUUUUUGCUAGAUGGUUGCUAUCAUCAACUUGGUGUAAUGUUUUUAUGAAUUUUGGAGUAGGAGUUUCUGCUAGUUCUUGCA